rnacentral:lncRNA from 1 species
AAAUUUUUUCUUGAAUACUCUCUCUCUCUCUGUAAACAUUAUGCAAUAUAUCUUGAAAUAAAGCUUUACUUUUGUAAGUUCCUUUAAUCUUUCUUCUAAUUAUACUUUCUAUUCCGCAAAUAGAUUCAAAAUGGUAUCAAAGCCAUGUUAAUGGCGUAAGUUGUUAGCAUGAGUAGCUAAAUCUUUAGGUUGUCUAGGCUGUUAGAAAUCAUGUGAUUAUUAAGAUGAUAAAAUUAUCUUAACUUAGUAUUUGUCCAACUUAUGAUUUAUUACCCUUGAUUCUUAUAGUAAAUCCUAAGAAUUUAUCUCUGUUAUUAUCUUGUAUAAUAUAUUUGUUAACAUCGAUUAAAGCAAGUUAAAGGCCAUGGUUUCGUUUUAUCAUGUUGAGGUUUUAUCUCUUCAUAAGUCUGAGUAUGCCGAUUAAUCUCCGGCUUAAGGACUUGGUUAGCCUGAAACUAGAUCAUUGUAAGUCCAGUAAGACUCAUGGGGGCAGACAAUCAAUCUUUUGGUAAUCCGUCCUACAUAAUGACUUGCCAAAAAUUUGUACUAUCCAACAUGCGUGAUAUUAGUUGAGUAACUUCCAAGGCCAAUUUAAUUUCUGAAUUAUUGUUAACCGUUAUAUUAUCUAGAUAAUCACUGCCUUAAUUUCUUUAUAUUUACGAGAAUCAUAGUUAAUUUUUCAUUAGUUUGAUAAUCUUUGUUAAAGUUAUUCUUAGUGCUUAGCUUAUCCUUGACGUUCUUUCAUUCCUAAAAAAAACUACUUGUUCUCAUGAAUAGCAACAAUAUUGUAAAAUCUGUUAAUUGUUCUAUAAUUAAAGAAGAUAUGUGUUUACAAAAUUGGUCCAUCCCUAAAGAACUGAUUAAUAAGAUUUACCAAAUAGGUAAUUUUAAUUUGUUUUAAAGUUUUAAUAUAAAAACAUGUGAAUCUACAUCUGCAAUUAUUAACUCUUUAGAGACUAUUAAAUUGUUGAUUGCUGCUGACAUAGAUAGGUAUAGAAAAGAAUUUAAAUUUCUUCAUAUUGGUCUUGUUCAGGUAGCUGUUAAACCCCUUUUCCGUAAAGCCCUAAAUAUUCCUAUUUUUUUAAUGCUUAGAGAUGCUAGACUUCUCAAUGUUGAUGAUUCGUUGCUAGGAAUCUUAGAAAGUAAUCUUGCUCUGGGACCGGUUUACUUCAAUUGUUAUCCUAAUUUCUUUGUAGAGAUAAAAGAUCAAAAAUGUUCGCAGAAAAUAGAAAGUAUAAUUAGAAGAAAAAUUAAAGGAACUUACAAAAGUAAACCUUUAUUCCAAGAUAUAUUGCAUAAUGUUUACAAAGAGGGAGAACAUUCAAGAAAAAAUUGUAUUCGAAAAAUUUCUGAUGCUCUUAAUGUGAAGAUACAAAGUUUUAUAUAGACUUGAAAGGAUAAGGGAAAUCUCAGAGCACUUCGUCUGAUUGGCUGUUGAUUUCCGUCCGUUGCUUUUGAUAAAGCAAAGUAUUUUAUUUUCUUUCGAGAAGCACCUUCAUCUUUAUCUUUUUGAUGAAGCUAUGUCUGACACUUUGUCGGCCAUAAUUGCAUAUAAUGCUUUGAUUGAUCAUGAUUCGCAGGUCCUGACAGAUUCCACUUAAUAAUUUAAUUAAAAGGAAAUUUCGUCUCUUUGAGACUCUUCCUUUUCUUUGUAGAUAAUUCCAGAUCAAUGAGCCUCUAUCUGAAAGAAUAGUUAUUCCAGAUUUUGAUACCCUCAGCUAGUGAUUAAUAAUAAAAUGGAUCUAAAUAGGACAAUUCAAAAACUUUAGGUUUUAACAUGUCUCCAUUAUCAUUACUUUGAGAGGAUGAAGCUUCUUCAAGGAUCUUCAUUAUAGGUUGUUCAUUAUAUUCAGACUCUAAGUCGGACAAGGCCUUUUGUAGUCUUAUCUUUAGUUCAUUCCUAGAUAAAGACUUCUGGGAGAUCUUCUAGAUAUUGAUUGGUUAAUGAUUGCAGCUUCCUUUAGAGCCAGAGACCAUCCUUUAAUCAAGAAUUCUCUUGACAUAUACUUGAUCAUGUCAAAUUAUUUAAUACAGAAAGUCCAACUAAUAAUAUAAGAAAUUCUUUUUUGAAUAAAAUAUUUACACAAUUUUAUGUUUAUGGGAGAGAAGAUAUGUCUUGAUCUAGCUGAAACCGACUGAAUUUGUCAGCAAUGUUUUUUGGAAAAACUUGUAUAUUUCUGCCAAAACAGUUCCACCAUUCGUAAAGCCAUAUAGGGAUGACUCUCUUGGUCACUUCUGGACUAUUUUGGACAAACCACGUGUGACUAGUUGGCCUAAGGUAGAGGAAGUUGAACCAGGCUGAUAUGUAGUCAUGUCAAUUGAAUGUUUGAGGUCUGUGUUCCCUCGAUAGAUUAAUAGGGGUGUGCAAGUGCUCUAAGUGCCACUCAAAAGGAGAUAAAAUUUUCUUGAUAGUCAAUUUAGAGUAAGCGAUACUAUCACGAUCAGAGUUAUUACCCAUUUGUGUUCAACUUCAAUUGAACCGGUAUCAACAAAACUCAAAGUAUUUUCUUGUUUUUAGUGGAUUAUCUGUAUCCACAUAAUUUCUAUUAGAAAAUAGAGGUUUCACAAGAUGCUUUACUUCAAAAUUCUCAUAUUCUUUGUCAAUGGCUAAUAUUGGGGAGACCUGCAAAGAGAUGAUUUCAAUGAUUUCUCUUACCUUUGGAGUUUUGUCGGUAGUUGAAGUACUAGUAGGUGCAACCGCCUCUUUGAAGCUCUAUGGAACUUUCAUGGUGUAAGAGUCUUUGGUUUGGGGGUUAAGAGUAUCUGGGUACUCCUGAUGGUGAGUGCUAACAAGGUUCGACGAUUGGUUAAAAAGUUUUAUUAGAGAUUGGAGGCAAAGGAGGAAAAUGUGUUAUUGAAAAGACUUGGUUUAUAGGUGGUAAGUUUGCCAAAGCUGAGUAUUUAUUCUGGUAACUCGAUGAUGUCCUGAUAGCAAAUGGUUUUGCUGAAGAUUUUCCUUCAGGACUUUUUCCCUUAUUCUUAAAGGGGCUCCCCGUUAUGGCUCUUGAAGAGGGACUUAUGAUGAUUUUCCCUGCAAGAAUUCUCGCGUUAGAAAAUCUUGUAAAGAAUUAUUUUCACCUUUAAUAAAUUCGAUUUGGAAAUCAAAGUUGGCUAAUAAGGCCUUCCAUCUGGCACAAAUCCAUUUAGAAACAAUAUUCUUAAUAUCCUUUUUAGGAUUUCUUUAGCAGAUUUACAAUCUACUCUAAGCAAGAAUUCUUUAUUGAUCAAGUCAUCUUGAAACUUAGUUAUACAAAGAACAAUAGCUAGGAUUUAUUUUUUGGUCGUGCUGUAAUUUCUUUGAGAAGAAUUCCAGAUUUCAGAAGUAUAAUAGACUAAUUGUUCUGAAGAAUUGGGGUCUUUUCUUUGUUUAUGAAUACCACCAUAUCCAAUAUCAGAAGAAUCAGUCUCAAUAAUCAUGAAAUAGUCAGGGUUAGAAAUACCAAGGCAAGGAAGAUCUUUAACCAUAUUCUUCAGAAGAAUAACUGCAUUGGUUUGUUCAUCACUCCAGGGUGAAGGAUUCUUCUUUAACCUAUCAAAGAGAGGUUUGAAAAUGUGCCUAACUUUGCGAAUAAAAUCAGCUACACAGUUGAGACUCCCUAAAAAUCUUUGCAACUGAGUUUUAUCUAAAAUGACAUUGGGAAAUUUAUCAGAAAACUUAAUUGAUCUGCAAAUAGGUUUAUAGUUACCUUGAUAAAGAUCAUGUCCUAAAAAUCUGAUUUUUGUUUGAAAUAUUUUAAUGUUUUUAGCACUAAUGACUAAUCCAUUGUGCUUAACAAUUUUAAAGAAAACAUUUAAAUGUUUGAAAUGAGAAUCAACGUCUUCGGAAAAGAUUAAUACAUCAUCAAUAUAAACAAUACAAAUAUGACUAAUAUGGUUGAAUAUAUAAUUCAUAAUAUUUUGAAAUUCCGAUGGGGCAUUUUUAAGCCCAAAAGGCAUGACAUUCCAUUAAUAUUGCCCAAACAGGACAUGGAAAGUUGUUUUGUAAUUAUCUUGUUCAGCUAUUUAUAUUUGCCAAAAUCCUGAUUUUAAAUAAAAUUUACGAUAAACAUUAGCUUUAAAAGUUCGUUUUAAAAGAUCCCUUUUGUCAGGGAUCGAAUAACGAAUCCACUUUAAAACUGAGUUUAGGGUUUGUAAUUAAUAACAAGUCUUGGGGAACCUCGUUCUUGUUCACCUGCAUUGUUAACAUAAAAUGCUGAACAACUCCAAGGUGAUUUUGAGGGACGAAUAAUUUUAUUAUUCAAAAGAGUAUGAAUUUCCAUUUUACAUAUUUUCCUUAAAUCAUGGUUCAUCUGAAUAGGCCUAUCUUUUGUAGAGAUUGCAUUUUCAUUAAAUCCAUCAAUAUAUGGUAAAUCAGUUUUAUUGGAUUUUCGAUCCCAAAAUGCGUUUGGAAAUCCUGAGCAAAUUUCAUUCUCAAAAUUCUUUUGAAGAUUGGCAAUUUUAGCAACCAUUUUCUGGGUUUUUAAAAUUUGCUCAAUUUUCUUAAUUUUAAUAUCCUCUUUUAAAAAACAAAUCUGAUUGAUUUUAAAUGCUGUUUGUUUAUGCAAAAAUUUACUUUCUUCAAGAGAAAGUGUCUUGAUAAAAGGAAAGGAAAUUUCUUUUCCUAAAAUUUUUGUUUUGAUUCAUUCAAAAUCUGAAAUAUUAGGUUUGAUUUGGGUAGUAAAAGGUAUACCCAAAACAAUUUCCUCAUUAAUGUUUUUAUUUAUAACAAAAUCAUUAGCAAGGCAAAUACCGUCAUUGCAGAUAUGAGCAUUUGAUAGAUUAUAAUUUCUACAGAUACAUUCACCAGUCGCGCUGUAUAACGUGGUAGUUCCCUUUUGGAGGUACUUGGUUGGGAUUAGAUCUUCAAUAAUGCAAUUACGAUCUGCACCACUGUCUAACAAAGCAAUUUUGUUAAGCAAAAAAUUAGAAUUGACUACUAACUUAAUCAUAAUGUGAGAACUCUGAGGUCUCACCUUUGUGAUCAUACUAAUACCUGCAUCUUCAAUACCUUUAGGUGAUGAAGGGGCUGAUUGAUCGGAAGAGUUGUUUGCUUCAUUUUCAUUAUCUGAUGUAGCAAUCUCUUUUCCUUUAAGAGAUACUUCAGCAUCCUUAAGAAAUUGUUUUUCUAAAGCAUCAAUUUCAAUUUUGUUAAGUCUUGACUUAAAUUCUCGAACUUCUUCUUUGAGGAAGUUAACCUCUACUCGAAGAUCAUUGAUACAAGGUUCUUCCCUCUUAUCCGUAUAUUUUGCAUGAUUUGUUUAAUGCUGAAAGGAAUUACAUUUCUUGUAACUUUUUUUUAUGUUUAGUGACAAGCUUUUGGAUGCUCCAAAAGAUAGCUUCUUCUGGCAUCAUCAUCUUUGAUAUGUUCAAUAGUUGCAAAUAAGAUUUAUGUAGAGUCUUCAAAGGGAACUCUGACAGAUUGGCUAUCACAAUGACAAAAUGCUCCUUGGCAGUUGCAUUCAUGUCCACUAUCUUUAGUACUAUCUUGAGCAACAUUGAGGAACUACUCGUCUUCAGGUUCUUCUUCUUCUGAAGAGGAAGACGAAUCUGAUUCUUCUUCGUUUAAUAUAGGCAGAAACUUUUCUUUAGUUUCUUCAUCUACUUCGACAAGAUUGAAUUUCUUCCUUUUUCUCUUGUUGGACAAUCACGAGACUGGGGUCCGUACUUUCCACAAAUCCAACAUUUGUCUUCGUUAGAUGUGUUGCGAGAAGUUUUCUUACUUCUCUUUCCCUUACAAUAUCCUUUUUCAUUUGAGGAUCUUCUCUUAGGUGUCGAUUUUCCAGAUCGUUCUUUCUUUGAAACUCUUUUUGCAGAAGGGGAUUUAGACUUGGGAAACCAAAGUCUUGACAAAAACUACCAAGUUCGUUACUUGAAAAUUUUUUAUCUUUCUUAAGCUGUUCCUUUAGCUUUAAAUAAGUACAUAGCUCCAUUGCUACGAAAUGAAUCAAACUGGUAAGAUCUCCAUAGAUCAUUUCUGAAUAUGGAAUUUUACCUUCACAUCAAUUUUUUAUUUUUGAUCGAGCUUUUUCUGCAAAAUGGGGAGGUAAUCCACUUAGGAAUUUCUCAUUCCAAUUAUCAUUGUUGCAGUCAUCUCUAAGCAUAACCUUUGUAAUAAACAUAUCUUUAUACCAUCUAAAAUCUGUCAAUUUCUUGCAGUAAGGAUUGUUUAAUAUUUCCAAACUUCUUUCUUGAAAUAAUCGUGGUGCUCCCACGAAAUGUUUAGCAAUGCUGUAAAGUAGGGUUGCAGUUGCAUCCUCAACUACCUCUAAAGAAGAAGUAGUUUGACCUCCUUCUGUCUUAACAACAUUCUUGCUUGCAACAACAUCAAGGGUCUCAUUUUUAUUUUGUUCUGUGAGAUAAUUGUCCCACCAAUUUUUAGAGUAAAUGUAAUUCCUGCAACUAUCCUAUUAGCUGCUUGCUAAUCGGUGGAACUGUUCCAUUUAGAGGUUGUGAUAUUCAUUCUCAUCUCUUGGAUUUUGUUAUAGAUUUGACUAUCAGCCAUACCGUCUAUAUUCCAUUCUGUUAUCCCUGUACCAUCUGCAACACUCUGGGGAUGCAUAUUGUUAUCUUCGAACUGGAUAUCAGUAAAAGAAGGUUUGGGAUAAAAGUUUUUGUAGUGAGGAAGUCUAUCUUUAAUAGCUCCGACCUUAUCACCAUGACAAAUCUUAAUCCUUUUAAGUUGCUCACUAAUUCUUUCUAGGAAUUCUGGAGAGUUUUUUAAGUCAUUAGCUGGUUUAGGGAAAUCAUCUAGGGCAAAUUUAUGGAUUUUAAAGAUAGGAUUAGUCUCUAAGUUGAAACCUGAUUUGGAAGAACUAGGUUUGUUACCAAUAUGGCUGUUACCACUGUAAUUCUACUUUGAGUCCUCAAUUUAUUUGGAAACAACAUGAAGAACCUGGUUAGUAUUAUUAUUUUGUUCAAAGACUUUGUUUAUUUCUUCAGUAGUCACAAAGUUGUUUUCUUUAUGCUCGGAAGGUUUUUUGAAAGGCGCUGCUUUCAAAACAACUUUUCUAUAAGGGAUGUUUAUACCUUCAAGAGGAGGAGUAACACUUUCGACAACCUUGGCUUUGAUAUGCCAUCUGUUAACUAAAAACUGAAGUGAUGAAUUGGAUUCACCGAUUUCGCCUGUAGAUUCAAACCAUUUGAAGAAUUCAAUUUCUAUUUUGAAUCUCUUCAUAUCCUUAAACCAGUUGUCUUUGAACAAGACUCUCUGAUCCCUUGUGUAUGUAUCAACAUACCAAGCUUUCUUUAAAGCAUGCUUAGGGAUCAUCCACCACUUAUAAUCUUUUUUGUGUCAGGAAUAAAUUUGUCGAAUGAAUUAAUAACUCCUAUAGAAUCCUUUUUUCGUAUGAGAAGGAUCUUUCAUUUCACUAGGAGUAGGACUUCCUACUAAAGAAGAAUCAUAAUAAAUCUUGAGGAUGGUUUGGGUGAAAUCUACCCCGCAGAAUUUACCCUUUUGUUCUGAAACCUCAAUGGUUUCAUAUAAACCGCGAUUAUUUCAAGACAGAUGUUUGGAAAUAUUAAACAAUCUUUAAUGCAAGAAAUGGACAGAUUUCAGAUGGUAUAAAGAUAUGUUUAUUACAAAGGUCAUUCUUAGAGAUGACUGCAACAAUGAUUAUUUGAAAGAGAGAUUCCUUUGUGGAUUACCUCCCCAUUUUGCAAAAAAGGUUCGAUCAAAAAUAACAUAUUGAUGUGAAGGUGAAAUUCCAUAUUAAGAAAUGACUUAAGGAGAUCUUAACAGUUUGAUUCAUUUCGUAGCAAUGGAGACAUGUCCUGAUUUAAAGCUAAAGGAACAGCUUAUGAAAGAUCAAAAAUUUUCAAGUAACGAACUUGGUAGAUUCUUUCAAGACUUUGGUUUCCCAAGUCUAAAACCCCCUUCUGCAAAAAGGGUUUCAAAGAAAGAACAAUCUGGAAAAUCCACAACUAAGAGAAGAUCCUCAAAAGAAAAAGGAUUUUCAAAAGGAAAGAGAAGUAAGAAAAUUUCUCACAACACAUCUAACGAAGUUAAAUGUUGGACUUGUGGAAAGUCUGGACACAAGUCUCCUGAUUUUCCUAGAAACAAGAAAAAAAGGAAGAAAAUCAAUAUUCUUGAAGUAGAUGAAGAAACUAAAGAAAAGUUUCUGUCUAUAUUAAACUAAGAAGAAUCAUUCGUCUUCCUCUUCAGAAGAAGAAGAAACUGAAGACGAGGAGUUCCUCAAUGUUUCUCAAGAUAGUACUCAAGAUAAUGGACAUUAAUGCAAUUGCCAAGGAGCAUUUUGUCAUUGUGAUAGCCAAUCUGUCAGAGUUCUCGCUGAAGACUCUACAGAAAUCUUAUUUGCAACUAAUGAACAUAUAAAAAAUGAUGAUGCCAGAAGAAGCUAUCUUUUGGAGCUUCAAAAGCUUGUCACUAAACAAAAAGAAAAAGAAGUUACAAGAAAUGUAAUUCCAUUCAGCAUGAAACAAAUAACGCAAAAAUGUACGGAUAAGAGGGAAGAACCUUCUAUCAAUAAUCUUCGAGCAGAGGUUAACUCCCUCAAAGAAGAAGUUCGAGAAGUUAAGUCAAGACUUAAAAAAAAUUUAAAUUGAUGCUUUAGAAAAACAAUUUCUUAAGGACGCUGAAGUAUCUCUUAAAGGAAAAGAGAUUGCUACUUCAGAUAACGAAGAUGAAGAAAACAACUCUUCCGAUCAAUCAACCUUUUCAUCACCUAAAGGUAUUGAAGAUGCAGGUAUUAGUAUGAUCACUAAGCUGAGACCUCAGAGUUCUCACAUUAUGAUUAAGUUAGUAGUCAAUUCUAAUUUUGUAAUUAAAAAAAUUCCUUUGUUAGAUAGUGGUGUAGAUCGUAAUUGCAUUGUUGAAGGCCUAAUCCCAACCAAGUACCUCCAAAAGGGUACUACCAACUUAUAAAGCGCGACUGAUGAGCAUAUCUGUAUAAAUAAUAAACUAUCAAAUUCUUAUAUCUGCAAUGACGGUAUUUGCCUUGCUAAUGAUUUUGUUAUAAGUAAAAACAUUAAUGAGGAAAUAAUUUUGGGUAUACCUUGUAUUACCCAAAUCAAACAUUAUAUUUCAGAUUUUGAAUCAAUCAAAACAAAAGUUUUAGUAAAAGAAAUUUCCUUUCCUUUUAUCAAGACACUUUCUCUUGAAGAAAGUAAAUUUUUGCAUAAAAAAACUGCAUUUAAAAUCAAUCAGAUUUGUUUUUUAAAAGAGGAUAUUAAAAUUAAGAAAAUUGAGCAAAUUUUAAAAACCCCGAGAAUGGUUGCUAAAAUUUCCAAUCUUCAAAAAAAUUUGAAAAUUAAAUUUGCUAAGAAUUUCCAAACGCAUUUUGGGAUCGAAAAUCCCAUAUUAUUGAUUUACCAUAUAUUGAUGGAUUUAAUGAAAAGGACAUCUCUACAAAAACUAGGCCUAUUCUGAUGUACCAUGAUUUAAUGGAAAUCUGUAAAAAGGAAAUUCAUACUCUUUUGAAUAGUAAAAUUAUUCAUCCCUCAAAAACCACCUUGGUGUUGUUCAGCAUUUUAUGUUAACAAUGCAGCUGAACAAACCCUUAAACUCAGUUUUAAAGUGGAUUUGUUAUCCGAUCCCUAUCAAAAGGGAUCUUUUAAAACGGACUUUUAAAGCUAAUGAUUAUAUUAAAUUUGAUUUAAAAUCAGGAUGUUGGCUAAUUCAAAUAGCUGAACAAGAUAAAUAUAAAACAGCUUUCAAUGUCCCGUUUGGAUAAUAUGAAUGGAAUGUCAUGCCUUUUGGGCUUAAAAAUGCCCCAUCGGAAUUUCCUUUUGAUUAAUUUAUUAAGUGGACUCUAUCAGGACCCGCGUAGCAUGGUCAAUCAAAGAAUUAUCUGCAAUUAUGGGCGACAAAGUGGCAGACAUAGCUUUAUCAAAAGAUAAAGAUGAAGGUGCUUUUCGAAAGAAAACAAAAUGCUUUGCUUUAUCAAAAGCAACGGAGGGAAAUCAACAGCCAAUCAACAGAAGAGCUCUUACAUUUCCCUUAUCCUUUCAUGUCUAUAUAAGACUUUGUAUCUUCACAUUAAGAGCAUCAUAAAUUUUAUGAAUACAAAAUUUUCUUAAACGCUCUCCCUCUCUGUAAACAUUAAGCAAUAUAUCUUGGAA